GGGUUGUGAGGUUAAGCGACUAAGCGUACACGGUGGAUGCCCUGGCAGUCAGAGGCGAUGAAGGACGUGCUAAUCUGCGAAAAGCGUCGGUAAGGUGAUAUGAACCGUUAUAACCGGCGAUGUCCGAAUGGGGAAACCCAGUGUGAUUCGUCACACUAUCGUUAACUGAAUACAUAGGUUAACGAGGCGAACCGGGGGAACUGAAACAUCUAAGUACCCCGAGGAAAAGAAAUCAACCGAGAUUCCCCCAGUAGCGGCGAGCGAACGGGGAGCAGCCCAGAGUCUGAAUCAGCUUGUGUGUUAGUGGAACGGUCUGGAAAGUCCGACGGUACAGGGUGAUAGUCCCGUACACCAAAAUGCACAGGUUGUGAACUCGAAGAGUAGGGCGGGACACGUGGUAUCCUGUCUGAAUAUGGGGGGACCAUCCUCCAAGGCUAAAUACUCCUGACUGACCGAUAGUGAACCAGUACCGUGAGGGAAAGGCGAAAAGAACCCCGGCGAGGGGAGUGAAAAAGAACCUGAAACCGUGUACGUACAAGCAGUGGGAGCACCUUCGGGUGUGACUGCGUACCUUUUGUAUAAUGGGUCAGCGACUUAUAUUCUGUAGCAAGGUUAACCGUAUAGGGGAGCCGCAGGGAAACCGAGUCUUAACUGGGCGUUAAGUUGCAGGGUAUAGACCCGAAACCCGGUGAUCUAGCCAUGGGCAGGUUGAAGGUUGGGUAACACUAACUGGAGGACCGAACCGACUAAUGUUGAAAAAUUAGCGGAUGACUUGUGGCUGGGGGUGAAAGGCCAAUCAAACCGGGAGAUAGCUGGUUCUCCCCGAAAGCUAUUUAGGUAGCGCCUCGUGAACUCAUCUUCGGGGGUAGAGCACUGUUUCGGCUAGGGGGUCAUCCCGACUUACCAACCCGAUGCAAACUACGAAUACCGAAGAAUGUUAUCACGGGAGACACACGGCGGGUGCUAACGUCCGUCGUGAAGAGGGAAACAACCCAGACCGCCAGCUAAGGUCCCAAAGUCAUGGUUAAGUGGGAAACGAUGUGGGAAGGCACAGACAGCCAGGAUGUUGGCUUAGAAGCAGCCAUCAUUUAAAGAAAGCGUAAUAGCUCACUGGUCGAGUCGGCCUGCGCGGAAGAUGUAACGGGGCUAAACCAUGCACCGAAGCUGCGGCAGCGACACUAUGUGUUGUUGGGUAGGGGAGCGUUCUGUAAGCCUGCGAAGGUGACCUGUGAGGGUUGCUGGAGGUAUCAGAAGUGCGAAUGCUGACAUAAGUAACGAUAAAGCGGGUGAAAAGCCCGCUCGCCGGAAGACCAAGGGUUCCUGUCCAACGUUAAUCGGGGCAGGGUGAGUCGACCCCUAAGGCGAGGCCGAAAGGCGUAGUCGAUGGGAAACAGGUUAAUAUUCCUGUACUUGGUGUUACUGCGAAGGGGGGACGGAGAAGGCUAUGUUAGCCGGGCGACGGUUGUCCCGGUUUAAGCAUGUAGGCUGGUUAUCCAGGCAAAUCCGGAUAAUCAAGGCUGAGGUGUGAUGACGAGGUACUACGGUACUGAAGUAACAAAUGCCCUGCUUCCAGGAAAAGCCUCUAAGCAUCAGGUAACAUCAAAUCGUACCCCAAACCGACAC
rnacentral:rRNA from 1 species